rnacentral:rRNA from 1 species
CCCUUAGAUGUUCUGGGCCGCACGCGCGCUACACUGAAUGGAUCAACGUGUUUUCCCUUCCCGAGAGGGACGGGUAACCCGCUGAACCCCAUUCGUGGUAGGGAUCGGGGCUUGCAAUUAUUCCCCGUGAACCAGGAAUGCCCAGUAAGUGCAAGUCAUAAGCUUGCGUUGAUUACGUCCCUGCCCUUUGUACACACCGCCCGUCGCUACUACCGAUUGAACGUUUUAGUGAGGUACUCGGACUGAGCCUCAGAAGAUUCACGUCUUUUGUGCUGCUCGGGAAGAUUCCCAAACUUGAGCGUUUAGAGGAAGUAAAANUCGUANCA